UCUUCUUUCCCUGGAAAUCACAUCCAUCCUUCAGCCAUGAAGACCCUUCACCUUUUCUUUUUUGCUUUCUUCUUGGAAUUUGCAGUUGGUCCAGAUCUCGCAGGAAAUCCAGAGGAAUGUCAGAAUCGGCUUAAAGGUGUCUGUUUUCCUGCUGGCCUUGACUGUCCUGAAUGUUUUAGCCAUUAUGGGUAUUGUAAUUACGAGUCAUUGCAAUGCUGUGCCAAAAUCUGGUGGCGUCCUGAGUGUGCAGAUGCUACCCAACCGCCAGAUGUCUCAACUCCAAAAACAACAGCGCCACCUUCACAAACAGAUUUGACCCAGAAAGUUCCUAGUACCUGAAAGAAAGCAUAGUAAACAGCUGUAAUGGUAAUUCUGGCAGGCAUCGGUUCUCGAAACAUCUGGCAUCAUCUGGCAACUCAAGAUUAUCCAGGAAUUCCUAGAACUUUAGUUCUUAUGAUCCUUGAACUGCUCUAUUAUAUUGUCCAUAAAACCGACAAAAGUUGUC